rnacentral:lncRNA from 1 species
AUAUUCUGACAACGCCCAUUGGGCUUGCUCCAUGGUGAGAGCCCAUUUAGCUCAUUAGAUUUUAAUGUUUACUAAAAAUAAGGGGCUAGUUCAAAUCUGGACUACAGAAUAUUGUGAUGUAGCUCUCUAAUCUCUAUGAUUUGUAUCUUUCCAACUUGUUGAUGGAGAUUCCUCUGGCUCUUAUAGUGGUUGCUUACUUGCCUAUACACAUGACCCAUUCAUGUAUUGUUACUGUUGAAGGUUAUUAGCCACAGAGACAGAGUGAGACAAGGAGGUGGGGGACAUGAUAUCAAGAGAGACAAGAAUUUGUAGCUUGACGUUUGUCUUUGUCGUACUAAUUAAUGGUGUGGUGUGGUUGCUUCAAUUCAACAAUGAAAUGCCAAUUAGAAGGGUACGGUUAUUUAUUUAUGAGGUAUUUCCAGCUGUUUAAAGCGACCCUAGAAUACUUUCAUUGUCACCUCUUUGACUAUGAGGUAUAUUUUAACUUCUAAAUUCAAACUCAGAUUUUUCAAAUGAUUCGUUGUUAACUUCAUUGUCAGUUGUCAGGUUCUUUAACUAUGAAGUUAUGUAUUAGAACUCCUAAACUUAGUUUCUCUUGUUUUAAUAUAAAUAAAUAGUUUUUACAUAGAUUAGGUUACUUUCGUGUUUUGUUUUGUUUUGAGUUAGUCGUUUUAAAUCUACAUUAUUUUAUUUUCGGUCUUAGUGCGGUGUUCGGUUGAUUCAAAUUGACAAAUAAACUUCAAUCAAUUACCGAUUCAACCAAUGAUUAAGUUGUUAACGUUGCAAAUCCAUAUAUAUAGGUAUUUCGGUCACUUUGAUUUUGUC